CUGUACAUAGUAGAACCUACUAUGUAUAUUUAUAUAUUAAUAUACAUAGUAGAACCUACUAUGUAUAUU
rnacentral:pre_miRNA from 10 species